UUUGCUACCGUUCAUGUGUACCUACAGGACACAGAAAUUAUUUUAAUUUAAGUUUAGAAUAACAACCUAUUUAAUAAUGAAUAGGAAUACAAGUCGGAGUAAAUAACUGAUUAACAUUUUCCUUAAUUAAGAAUUUAUUAUUUUGAGGAAAAUAACAUUUGGUUACUAAAAUUAGAUCCAGGUAUUAAUUAAUAGGUCAAGUGUGAGCAGACGUCGCUAGAACAGAGUUCCGUAGUUAGAAGUGCUUAUAAUGUCUUUCUUUCUGCAAUUUUAAAAACGGUUUCUUAUUCUCAGCACUAAGAGCAACUCUUGUUUACGGCACAGCAUAUUUUUUUAAGCAUUUUUUAUUUAACAGCCCAUUCGUCGUGCAGUCAAAAAAUGUGAUGAAACUGACCGAAGUGCCCACAUAUAUAAUGAUGUAUUAACGUAUACUUUUCCACCAGAACAAAGUUCGUAGAUAAAAGGCUAGGCUCCCUAGCUUCCGAAACACAAUCUCUAAAACAAGAGUGGCUGAAAAAGGAUUCCGUUUCCUUAUUAUAUGUAGUUACGGAACCCCGAUGUUACUGCGUUUUAGUCAUCAUUAUUAUCAUCAUAUUACAUGCAUCAUACUGCAUUUCGGGUAUAUAAACAGCCGUCGACUAACUGAACUUCAGUAUUCAAAGCUAAUUUAAGGCAUUAAGUACGUUUCUUUCUUUCUUUCUUUGACAUCAUGAUGUGGUUAAGGCUAUUCUUCGUGUGUCUAUUGUUUGCUGUGAGUCUGACGUGGGCUGGUAGGAUAAUAACGCUCCAGUGUCCUGAUGGAAAACCACCCUCUAGGAGCGGACAUUGUCCAACAACACCUUUGAUCGAUGAAUAUUUAGAUGAAUAUUCUGACAACAGCAGUAAAGCAACGGAAUAAGUUGUGAAAGCGUCAUACAUGACAGAUAUAACAACAUUGAACUUUGUGUUACAUCACUUUUAAGUACAAAUUGAUGAGACGUCACAAACUGCCACUCUCAAUCUUUGUUGCGUUUUAUUUUAGUAAAUAUUUAAUGUUCUGUCAA
rnacentral:lncRNA from 1 species